AGGAUGAACGCUGGCGGCGUGCCUAACACAUGCAAGUCGAACGGAGCUUACUUGAAGGAGACUUCGGUCAACGGAAGGGUAAGCUUAGUGGCGGACGGGUGAGUAACGCGUGGAGAACCUGCCCUGUACAGGGGGAUAACAGUGAGAAAUCACUGCUAAUACCGCAUAAGCGCACAGUACCGCAUGGUACAGUGUGAAAAAACUCCGGUGGUACAGGAUGGCUCCGCGUUGGAUUAGCCAGUUGGCGGGGUAACGGCCCACCAAAGCGACGAUCCAUAGCCGGCCUGAGAGGGUGAACGGCCACAUUGGGACUGAGACACGGCCCAGACUCCUACGGGAGGCAGCAGUGGGGAAUAUUGCACAAUGGGGGAAACCCUGAUGCAGCGAACCGCCGCGUGAAGGAAGAAGUAUCUCGGUAUGUAAACUUCUAUCAGCAGGGAAGAUGAUGACGGUACCUGACUAAGAAGCCCCGGCUAACUACGUGCCAGCAGCUGC
rnacentral:rRNA from 1 species